rnacentral:misc_RNA from 1 species
GAUGAAGAACGUAGCGAAAUGCGAUAAGUAAUGCGAAUUGCAGAAUCCGUGAGUCAUCGAAUCUUUGAACGCACAUUGCGCCCUCUGUAUUCCGGAGGGCAUGCCUGUUCGAGCGUCAUUAUCACCCCUCAAGCCCGGCUUGUUGUUGGAUGCAGCGCUUAUCCCGCUCCUCCCAAAGAUAAUGACGGCGUCUGCGACGACUCCUGUACACUGAGCUUUCGGGCACGUACACGGCUAGAAGUCCAGACCCGGUCGCCGUCCCCCCCGCGGGGACACCCAUUACCACAAGGUUGACCUCGGAUCAGGUAGGAAUACCCGCUGAACUUAAGCAUAUCAAUAAGCGGAGGA